rnacentral:lncRNA from 1 species
GAAGCUGAAAGAGCUAAGCAGCAACUUGCCUAUUUCCUAAAUCAAGAAAAGGAGUUUCUUAAAAGUGAGGCAAAGACCAAGACAACCACAGAAAUGGGUACUGGUAAAUUAAAAGUUAAAGGUGAAGAUUCAAAAUAUAUACUAUUGGAAAAUGAAACAAGAAAAGCAGUAGUGGGAGAUUCAGGUGGACAAAAACAAAUGAUAAAAUUACAUAUCCACAGCUCAGAGAAGGAAAGAGCUAGCCCUGCUAUUUCAGAUCUUUCACAGAUCCUCAAGUCUCAAGAUGGAUCAUCUUUUUAAAGACUCCAAGUGAACGUUUAACUGAUGAAGAUCUAUCCGUAUAGUUUCAUCAAAGAACUAUGAUAAAACAUUCACAACAAUGUUACAGCAUGAAGAAAUUAAAGAUGCACAGUCUGCUGGAAAAUUGCUUCAAGAGAAUGAAAUGUUUGCAUCAUCAUUCAUCUCACCUUCUGUUGUUCAAAGAAGGGUACUGGGUACUGACAUCUCAAAGGUGGCUGAUAUUUUAGAAGAGAAAUUUAAAACUAAGCUUGAAAAACAAACUUACCAAGAAGCAAGAGGGUUUCAAGCUUUUAUUAUGACCCAUCCAUAUCUUAUUGCAUUGGCUGAAACUUCCAAAGUAAUUUUUUAAACAGUUAUGAUGCAAGGAGAUCAAACCAGUCAAUCCUAAAGGAAAUCAGUCCUGAAUAUUCAUUGGAAGGACUGAUGCUGAAGCUGGAACUCCAAUACUUUGGCCACCAGAUAUGAAGAACUGACUCAUUGGAAAAGACCCUGAUGCUGGAAAAGAUUGAAGGCAGAAGGAGAAGAGAACAACAGAGGAUGAGAUGGUUGGAUGGCAUCACCAACUUGAUGGACUUGAGUUUGAGCUAGCUCCAGGAGUUGGUGAUGGACAGGGCAGCCUGGCGUGCUGCAGCAUGGGGUUGCAAAGAGUUGGACACAACUGAGUGACUGAACUGAGAGUAUGGAAGUAUUGCUCUUGUUUUGUGCUUUGAAAUGAGAGUGUCUCUAUGGUUUCACCUAUGAUGAUUAGUUACCUGAGAUAAAUAUUUUGAUUAUGGUCAGGAUGUUUUCUUUUGUUCAGAGUUUAUCAUGAAUUUUUAACCAGUAUUGAACUCAAUUUAAUCAACUGACCCAUUUUUUUCCAUUGUGAUAAAAUAUACAUAAAAUUUGACAUUUUAAUCAUCUUUAAAGUAUAAAAUUCAAUAGCAUCAACUGCAUUCAGUGUUGUGCAAUCAUCACUACAUCUAUAUCCACAACUUUCAUCACCCUGAAAAGAAACAUGUUAGGCAGUAACUCCCAAUCCUGCCUCCAUCCGGCCCCUGGUAACCUCUCACUUACUUUCUUUCACUUACUCACUUGCUUUCUUCCACUUACUUACUUUCUGUGGGUUUGGCUAUUAUGUUUCAUGUUAGUGGAAUUAUAUAUUUGUCCUUUUGCACCUGGCCUGUUUCACUUAGCAUAAUAUUUUCAAGGUUCACCACAGUUUAGCAUAUGUCCGAAUUUUGUUUCUUUUAUGAACUGUGGUGUUGGAGAAGAGAUCCAACCAGUCCAUCCUAAAGGAGAUCAGUCCUGGGUGUUCAUUGGAAGGUGAUGCUGAUGGUGAAGCUGAAACUCCAAUACUUUGGCCACCUGAUGCGAAGAGCUAACUCAUUUGAAAAGACCCUGAUGCUGGGAAAGAUUGAGGCAGAAGGAGAAGGGACGACAAAGGAUGAGAUGGUUGGAUGGUAUCACCGACUCAAUGGGCAUGAGUUUGGGUAAACUCUGAGAGUUGGUGAUGGACAGGGAGGCCUGGCGUGCUGCAGUUCAUGGGGUCGCAAAGAGUCAGACACAACUGAGCAAUUGAACUGAACUGAAUGUAUUAAUGUAUGACAUACCACAUUUUGUUUAUCCAUUCAUCUGCUGAUGGACAUUUAGAUUGCUUCCACUUUUGGCUACUGUGAAUAAUUCUACACGGAACAUGGUGUAGGAUAUCUGUUUAAAUCUCUGUUUUCAGUUGUUUGGGUAGGAGUAUAUUUGCUGGAUCAUAAAAUAAUUUUAAGUUUAGCUUUCUGAGGAACUGCACAACAGUUUUCCACAGUGGCUGCACUAUUUUCUGUUCCUAGUAACAAUGUACAAUGGUACACACCCUUGUUUUCCUUUUGUUUGAAUUAUGUUUAUUCCAGUAGGUAUGAAGUGUAUCUCAUUAUAAUUUUGAUUCAUUUUACUUAAUUAUUAAAGAUUAUAUGCAUCUUUUGUGUGCUUAUUGGUAAUUUGUUUAUCUUCUUUGGAAAAAUGUCUUUACAACUCCUUCACCAUUUUUUUUUAAUAUUUAAAGUAUUUAUUACCUACUUGACUUUAAAUCAAGUCUCAGUAAAACACAACAAAAUUGUGCCACCAUAUAAAUGAUAUCCU